rnacentral:misc_RNA from 1 species
AAUUCCAGAAACACCAUCUGAAAAAUUCAUCCCAUAGCAUAAUUUUCACAAUAUAGAUUUAGUAAAUGAAUUAAGAAAGAAAAAAAAUAAAAUAAAACAAGAACCCAACAUCUAAGGAGUCCAAUAUUUGUCAAUCAGACGCACAGAAACAGCAAGAACUUGAAUCAAAACAUUCCUUCUGGCCCUGUUACCUCUAAUUAAAUAAAAAAAUUCUACGUCUACAAUCAUCUAAACUACGUCCAAUGCAGCCAAUCCAAAUUAUCACUUUAUCAAAGCUAAAACCACAAGUUUCUCACCUUAUGCAAGCAAACUCGCACACAAUUCAAAAGAAAAUUUUUACAAGCAAAUAAAAAAAAUAUAUUGUUCAACACGACUUAUCGCAGCAAUCAAAACUUACAAAUGAAAAAUCCGAGACCAAAAUCACUAAAACAUAAGAUAUUGAGUGAAAAGUAUUCGCAAGCAAAUAGGAUUGUACCGAGCGAGUCUCGUAGAGUCGGAA